rnacentral:rRNA from 1 species
GAGUUUGAUCGUGGCUCAGAUUGAACGCUGGCGGCAUGCCUAACACAUGCAAGUCGAACGGCAGCACUGGGAGCUUGCUCCCUGGUGGCGAGUGGCGGACGGGUGAGUAACGCGUAGGAAUCUGCCUCAUAGCGGGGGACAACUCGGGGAAACUCGAGCUAAUACCGCAUACUACUCGAGAGAGGAAAGCAGGGGACCUUCGGGCCGUUGCACUAUGAGAUGAGCCUGCGUUGGA